GACGAACGCUGGCGGCGUGCUUUACACAUGCAAGUCGAGCGAUGAGAUCCCUCCGGGGAUGGAUUAGCGGCGAACGGGUGAGGAACACGUGAGGAAUCUACCUUCAACACUGGGAUAACUCCGGGAAACCGGGGCUAAUACCGGAUACGAGAUCGGCAGGCAUCUGCUGCUCUGGAAAGUUUUUCGGUUGAAGAUGACCUCGCGGCCUAUCAGCUUGUUGGUGAGGUAAUGGCUCACCAAGGCGACGACGGGUAGCCGGCCUGAGAGGGCGACCGGCCACACUGGGACUGAGACACGGCCCAGACUCCUACGGGAGGCAGCAGUGGGGAAUAUUGGGCAAUGGAGGAAACUCUGACCCAGCGACGCCGCGUGCGGGAUGAAGGCCUUCGGGUUGUAAACCGCUUUCAGCAGGGAAGAAGCGAAAGUGACGGUACCUGCAGAAGAAGCACCGGCUAACUAUGUGCCAGCAGCCGCGGUAAUACAUAGGGUGCAAGCGUUGUCCGGAAUUAUUGGGCGUAAAGAGCUCGUAGGUGGUUCAUCACGUCGGAUGUGAAAAUCUGGGGCUUAACCCCAGACCUGCAUUCGAUACGGGCGAGCUAGAGUGUGGUAGGGGAGACUGGAAUUCCUGGUGUAGCGGUGGAAUGCGCAGAUAUCAGGAGGAACACCAAUGGCGAAGGCAGGUCUCUGGGCCAUUACUGACACUGAGGAGCGAAAGCGUGGGGAGCGAACAGGAUUAGAUACCCUGGUAGUCCACGCCGUAAACGAUGGGCACUAGUUGUGGGAACCUUCCACGGUUUCUGCGACGCAGCUAACGCAUUAAGUGCCCCGCCUGGGGAGUACGAUCGCAAGAUUAAAACUCAAAGGAAUUGACGGGGCCCCGCACAAGCAGCGGAGCAUGCGGCUCAAUUCGACGCAACGCGAAGAACCUUACCAAGGCUUGACAUAUAGGGAAAAGUGGCAGAGAUGCCAUGUCCGCAAGGGCUCUAUACAGGUGGUGCAUGGUUGUCGUCAGCUCGUGUCGUGAGAUGUUGGGUUAAG
rnacentral:rRNA from 1 species